rnacentral:rRNA from 1 species
UACGUAGGGUGCGAGCGUUAAUCGGAAUUACUGGGCGUAAAGCGUGCGCAGGCGGUUUUGUAAGACCGAUGUGAAAUCCCCGGGCUCAACCUGGGAACUGCAUUGGUGACUGCAAGGCUGGAGUGCGGCAGAGGGGGAUGGAAUUCCGCGUGUAGCAGUGAAAUGCGUAGAUAUGCGGAGGAACACCGAUGGCGAAGGCAAUCCCCUGGGCCUGCACUGACGCUCAUGCACGAAAGCGUGGGGAGCAAACAGG